ensembl:lncRNA
UGGCGUGGUUUGAAUGCUGAAAGCGUGAGAAGCAUUUAAUGUUCUGUGGCGCUCCGUUAAAGUUGUAUGAAUAGAACAUCUGGUAUCAAAUCUUGGGAUAAAUCAAUUCCUGCAAGUAUUUGGACCUGCUCUGGGUCUGUGCCUUGUUCCAGUUCUGCAUUCCCUCUCUUACUUUCCUGUUUCUAGAGCCAGUAGAGGAUGGUUUAUUGCCUGGUGCAACUCAUUCUAUUCCCUUUGUUGGAGCUCGGCAAUCACUUUGGCAUCUGUGGGGUUGAAAUGGCAACAAUGAUUUAAAAUGCCCCUGAAAGGCUUUUUAUUUGUCCUCAGGAUGGUGGAAAAAGGAGUGGCCAUCCAGAGAUUUAGGAAAGGUGCUGCCUGAUAUGUGUGCAGUGUAACCCUACUGGGCAGUUUUUGUCUGUAUAAAACUUCUCUGCCCACUGUAGAGACCUGGUGUGGAUGCAUCCAUGCAAGACCUCCCUGCCAGGAGGAACGAAUGCUAUCCCAGUGCUCAGCACUGACAGAUUCCACUGCCAGUCCUGCUUUGAAUGUGAGAAAAAGUCCUGCAGAGUUGAAGAGUGAGAAGGGGAAAUGCGAGCUGUUGUCACGUUGUAUGACUGAUGCCAUACAACAGAUGCAAGUGCCCAUAGUUAAGAAAUCCCCAGCCCCAGUCUUCCAAAUCAUGAGCCACUGCUGAGCAUCAUGAGGCAGGGCAGGCUCUUAUGCUUUUUACUUCAAUAAUUCUUUUUGCCUUAGGAAGUGUUGAAAGAAAAGCUAAGAAAGGCUGAGCACACAGAGCUCCUGUUACCCUUCCUGAGCCUUGACUCCACACCUGGCCAGAUUUUCAGGCUUUGUACAUCAAACAACCUUCAGUGAAGUUAUUCUUGCCUCAUACAAGUGGUAAGAGGAAAGAGAAGCAAGUUAUUCAUAUUUAAUGCUAUUUUGUGCCAGAUGUUUUGCUGGUAGAAAUCCAUAGCUCCACAGGCACCAAUUUCUUCAGGAUCUGGAAUGUCUGGCCCAAUUUCUUUCUCACUGUGGAUGGUCUGUGAAAGAAACCACUUUAUUUUGCAAUAUUGAAUAUUCUUGCCGGGAAGUUAUAAACAAAAACAAAAUAAUGAGAGACAGGGUCUCUAAUAAGCUUCCUGUCGCAUGAGGCUCUGGUUCUAUUGAAGCAUAUGUGUUUGCUGACUUGCUUCCAAAAGGUUUGUUGAGUGGUGGUGAUUAGUUUCUGUUGUACUGAUAUUAUCUCUCUGUAGUCUCAUUCAAUACAAGUAGUUCUGUAAACAGUGAAGUCUUUUUUUCCUACGGGUUUGUACCUUGGAUUGUGUUUCAGCAUGGAUUCUCUGAUGUUUAAUGGGGAUUGAGUUCAUGUUCAGCCAAUUUCUUCAAUGAGGGAUGAAUAAUCUGUCUUUUUGGCCAUCUAUUUCCACAAAAUUUGCUGGAAUUAAAUAUCUUCAACGCCCUCUAUCAAAGUUGACUGGGAUUUAUGAACAAGUUUUGGAGUUAUUUGGGGCUGUCCAAUGUAGAUAAAAGAGAGUCUCAUUUUCUUACAAAAACAGAAUGUAAAAAUGCAUUUUUAAAGUGUUUUGUCUGAUUCUGUUCUAUUUGUGACCAGUCAUAUAGGAUGUGUUUUAUUUGUAAAGCUGUAUAAAAGUAUGAUGUGGGUUUUUUUGCCCUGUUGAGUGCAUAUUAAAGCAUCUUUAGUUUAUUCUUGUUAUGGGCCAGCUGAGAUUGCUUUUUUUUUUGGUCCUUGUUGGAACAUGGGAAAAGGUUUACACAGGUGAGUGCAGAGAAAGGACACAUGGUUGCUCAUUUAGUACCAGAGAUCUCUGCUUCUGGUUUGGAAAGGAAGAAAGGAAACACAGAAUUGAAUAUAACCUUUUAGCUUGCUGAGUCCAGUUUUGUGCUUCUGCAGGGAGCUAAGUUCUCAAUCCUUCUCACAAGCAGACAGUGCUAUUCAAAAAUGUACUCUUUCCUCCUUGUUGUGUCUCCUAUCUUCCUAGUUACCUACUUUAUUUGGGAGACUGCUCUAGAAUCUCCUAAUUUUGACAGGAAGAAAACCACUAAUUUCUGUGGUCACUUUAUGUAUCUUUUUUCUUCUUCCAUGAAAAAAAACCGACAUCUAUCCUUUUUUUUUGUUUACAUCCUGUAAGGUAAGACAGAUCUGGAUAUCUCUUUAUCUUUCUAACCUGUCAGGUUACUUUGCUUAAUGUAAAUGAACAAUUAAUUUAAAAUAGAAAAGGACAGUAAUUCAAGAGGUAGAAGAAGUGGAUCAGACAAGAAGGUGAGUGGAUCAGACACAAAUGUGAUGUGUUCAUUAUGCCAUCUGUUUAUGGUAAAAGAGGAGCUAUCACAUGGGAACAGAACAAGAGGUAGAGAUCAGGCCUCACUCAUCUUCCCUUGCAAAAUAGCCAGAUUUCUUCAUUUGAUUACAGCGGAUUAAGCUCUUGAUUCUGAGCUGAAUCUCUGAAUGAUCCCAAAAAGGACAGCAAUGGAAAUUUUAAACCCCAAUUCUGGAACUGUGAUUGUUCUUGCUGUGAAGCUUUUCCUUCAAAAGACGUUGUGAGCUGGAAACAGCAUCUGCAUUAUGCAGUGACCACCUUUUGGUGCUCAGCAUCUACUCUUAAACACUGGAUGAAGCCUCUCACAGAUAACUGGGUGCAGAGACCUUCAGAUUCUUCAUGUCCAAAUGAUUUCUGAACACUGAUCAUCCUGGUUCCCUAAGAAAACACAUUGGCAGCCAAAGAUAACUAGAGCGAAAUGUGGCUAAACUCGUUAGCUUCCUUGCCUCCUCUAAGCCUCACCUGGUCCCAGGGGUCUGCAAGGGUGUGCAUGGUGGGCAGCCCUCACCUAGGAACAUCACCUGUGCCUGGCAGAUUAAGAUUGGAAGGGAUAUUUCCUGUUUUCUGGCCCCUUUUGGACUGGUAAAAGGAAGCCAGAGAGCCCAGAACAUGAGCAAAAGUCUUCCAAAUCUUUGUUAACUGGAAGGAUGGUGGAUAUUGGCCAGUGGUGUCUGGGUGUAAAAGAAUAAGCAAAUCAGAGUCUCAGGAGCCUAACAGGAAAUGCAGAUGACUGGGGGUGAAUGUCCCAACUUUCUUUUCUUCUUUUUUCUUUUAUUUUAGCAACUGAUGUGACAGAGAGCAACCACAGCCGCAUAACGUGCACUUGAGAACAGAAGUGCACAUAUACCUCUGAUUUCCACACAAGUGUUGUUAAUGAUCUCACUGCCAUGUGGUGCCACCUUCAUAUUUAGUUUUGGUUGUUAUUCUGGCUAUAAGAGUACGCUGUCUACUUGUGUGGCUGCAAACUCAGACCUGUGCAGAGCUGUGUUACCUAAGAUUUAAUGCAUCCGUACCAUAUUUGCACACCUCUCCAAGUUCCUGGAGAAAUUAAAGGUCCAAAGUUCAGCUUUAUGUUAAUAGAUCUGGAUAUGCCCAAUAUUUAACUUCCACGGACAAAGGAACUGCAUGAAGAGCUGGCUUGUCUUGCUGCAUUUUGAAGGUGUCAGCACUGUGCGCUGCAGAACUUCAUGCAACCUUAGGGAAAAAAAGAAAAAAAAAAAGCCAAGUGUAUGCUCAGUGGAAAACAGAUGGAUUUUUCAUUAGAUAUAACUGUUAAUGAUCUGCUUUAAAAGUAAAGAUAUGCCAUUCUGAGUAGAAGAAGGGCCUCCUCAUAGCUUUGUGAAGGUCCCAGGAUCAUUAUCGUAGCUACAGAUAGAACUGCAAGAUCCUUGUAUCAUUAGGAGUUCCAGUCAGACAUCUCUGCCAUUAUUAGACUUCCAAACACAGCAAAACACUGUGGGGGCCUUAACAAUAUUGUUCCCUAAGACAUGUCUUUAUUUAAUGAUGCAGAGUUGUUAUGGGGCUGGCAGUUGGUUACUCAGUUUCUGGAGCAUUACCAUUUAACCUAGGGUCAGAAUAAAAAUCCUUGAAUAUUUGUUGCAAGGCAGAUCUUUUGCUUCACUGAGGGACUCGUCUUCACAGUCAACCAUGGUGUGACUCCUCCAAGUGGUCCUACUGGCUCUGAGAGGUGACCCCAGCAGUCUAGAAAGCCUGAAGACCCUUCCUAAAAAGAUGAACCCUGCGCUCUGUGCCUGUAGGUACUAAAUCAGCUUUUGACAAGCAGAGAACAAUGCAGUCCCAGGGUUUUAGGAAUAGAUGGUUGCUGCCAAACCACAAUAAAUGCUUUUGUCUGGAACUCAUGGAGCAGUAACAUAGCAAAGGAGGGUGUGCCCUUGUCCAUUAGUCCCUCCAAGCGAAUUCUCACAGACAUGUAACCAGGAGUCAGAUAGAUUUCAUGAAGCUAGUGGAGAAAUAAGCACUCUUUCCUUACAAAGAAAGUCAGAAAUACUAUAACUCAGCAAAACAUAGGGCUUUUUUUGUUCCUAAGAGUUAUGCAAGAAAUUGUAGUGCCCAUACCCAGACAGCACUCCCUAAAAUGAGACUCACAUGAGAGAAUUUGCAUUACCUUUCUUCUACUACAAGUUGAUGAAAUUGCUUUACUUCCUCAGCAUAUGUAUAAAUACAACCUGUAUCUCCAACUGUUUUCCACUUGGAGACUAUGAAUCAGAAUCCAAGCUUCUCAAAGUCCAAAGAAGUUCGGAGCUGAUGUUCUGGUUCGCUGUCACCUCUGUAGAAAACACCUGCUUAAAUAAUAAUAAUAACUGCAUUAAUAAACAAGAAAUCAGCUCCUUGCUCUUAAGAGAGGUACUAGAAGGAUCAGUUGUAAGCUAUUACAGAUUAUUAAUUGAAUGCCACUCAAACUAUGUAUGUUUUUUCCACUCCUUAUUGAGACGAUCUGUUAGUAACCUUCUUCAGCUUCCAGACUAGAUUUUUAAAUGACAAGAACAUGUCCAUAUAUGUUCUUGUGCCCAAACUCUCUUCUAGUUUAGAUUAUGCUCAAAUAGAGUGUGAACCUGAAUAUUAGGUUCAAACAACAAGGUCACAUAUCCCACUAGUUUUAUGGGUUUGUUGC